rnacentral:misc_RNA from 1 species
CAGAAAAACACCAACUUGUCGUCUUUUUUUCAAUCCCUCCCAUGGCUAGAAGCUUCUUAUUCGAACCUCCUAGCGACGAGGAGCCUGAAUUAUCCCAUCCUGAAGAAGAGGAAGAAGAAGACGACGACGAAGACGAACAAGAAGAAGGGGAAGAAGAAGAAGAAGAAGCAGCAGCAAAGAAGAAACCUUCUAAUAGGCAUACUCAAUCACCAUGGGAUUUCGCUUCUUACUCCGAGUCCGUUGCGGAAGAACACGCUCGUCGAAGCACCACCUCCGUGGAUUACAAGAUUUCCAGAGCCCUUCAACAUCGCUCCGUUCCUAUCACCACUCCCGCCGCCGACGCAGAAGCCGCCUCAGAUUCGGAACCAGACAAACAGGAAGAUUAUAGAUCAGAAGAGGAUGAUGAUGGGGAAAGUAAUGCCGAUGGAAGGAAGUCAUUUUUUGCACCUGCAGAAGGAGCUUCCUUCCAUGCGAAUUCUUUCAUGGAGCUCAAUCUAUCUCGCCCAUUGCUUCGGGCUUGUGAGGCUUUAGGUUACACUAAGCCUACUCCAAUUCAGGCUGCUUGUAUACCACUGGCACUCACUGGCCGUGAUAUUUGUGGGAGUGCGAUUACUGGUUCUGGGAAGACAGCUGCCUUUGCAUUACCUACUUUGGAGAGAUUACUUUUUCGUCCAAAACGUGUUCAAGCAAUACGGGUCCUCAUUCUCACACCAACAAGAGAGUUGGCGGUUCAGGUUCACAAUAUGAUAGAGAAACUUUCUCAGUUUACAGAUAUUAGAUGUUGCUUGAUUGUUGGUGGGCUUUCUACAAAGGUGCAAGAAUCUGCCUUGAGAUCAAUGCCAGAUAUUGUUGUGGCUACCCCAGG